ACGUCCGUGGCCAGGUUGUGGGCGAUCCGGUUGAAGCGGGCGACGUCGGAGUAGAGCUCGGCCUGCCAGUCGUGAGACUCGAUCUGGGUGGUC
rnacentral:tRNA from 1 species